GGGGACGUGGCGCAGUCCGGUAGCGCACCUCGGUCGCAUCGAGGGGGUCAGGGGUUCAAAUCCCCUCGUCUCCA
rnacentral:tRNA from 1 species